CUGAGUAAGGGAGCAAUCCCGACCUCCAACCCUUUGUGAACGCAUCAUGUUGCUUCGGGGGCGACCCUGCCGUUCGCGGCAUUCCCCCCGGAGGUAAUCAAAACACUGCAUUAUUACGUCGGAGUAAAAAGUUAAUUUAAUA
rnacentral:misc_RNA from 1 species